CAGUGGGGAAUAUUGCGCAAUGGGCGAAAGCCUGACGCAGCAACGCCGCGUGAGGGACGAAGGCCUUCGGGUUGUAAACCUCUUUCAGCAGGGAAGAAGCGAAAGUGACGGUACCUGCAGAAGAAGCACCGGCUAACUACGUGCCAGCAGCCGCGGUAAUACGUAGGGUGCAAGCGUUGUCCGGAAUUAUUGGGCGUAAAGAGCUCGUAGGUGGUUUGUCGCGUCUGCUGUGAAAAUUCGGGGCUCAACCCCGGACUUGCAGUGGGUACGGGCAGACUAGAGUGUGGUAGAGGAGACUGGAAUUCCUGGUGUAGCGGUGGAAUGCGCAGAUAUCAGGAGGAACACCAGUGGCGAAGGCGGGUCUCUGGGCCACAACUGACACUGAGGAGCGAAAGCGUGGGGAGCGAACAGGAUUAGAUACCCUGGUAGUCCACGCCGUAAACGUUGGGCGCUAGGUGUGGGGCUCUUUCCACGAGUUCCGCGCCGCA
rnacentral:rRNA from 1 species